rnacentral:rRNA from 1 species
AUUGAACGCUGGCGGCAGGCCUAACACAUGCAAGUCGAGCGGAGCGGCGGACGGGUGAGUAACGCCUAGGAAUCUGCCUGGUAGUGGGGGAUAACGUCCGGAAACGGGCGCUAAUACCGCAUACUAUCAGAUGAGCCUAGGUCGGAUUAGCUAGUUGGUGGGGUAAAGGCCUACCAAGGCGACGAUCCCUAGCUGGUCUGAGAGGAUGAUCAGUCACACUGGGACUGAGACAAUGCCCAGACUCCUCCGUGAGGCGGCAGUGGGGAAUAUUGCACAAUGGGCGCAAGCCUUAUGCAGCCAUUCCGCGUGUAUGAAGAAGGCCUUCGGGUUGUAAAGUACUUUCAGUCGGGCGGCGUUGCCGACAGAAUAAGCACCGGCGAACUCCGUGCCAGCAGCCGCGGUAAUUC